UACGUAGGUGACGAGCGUUAUCCGGAAUUACUGGGCGUAAAGAGCGCGCAGGCGGUCGUUCAAGUCGAGUGUGAAAGCCCCCGGCUCAACUGGGGAGGGUCAUUCGAUACUGAUCGACUUGAAGGCAGGAGAGGGAAGCGGAAUUCCCGGUGUAGUGGUGAAAUGCGUAGAUAUCGGGAGGAACACCAGUGGCGAAGGCGGCUUCCUGGCCUGUUCUUGACGCUGAGGCGCGAAAGCUAGGGGAGCAAACGGG
rnacentral:rRNA from 1 species